UCUGAUGACAGUUACUAUUAGCUUAUAUUUCCACAAGAUGACAUCGAAUAUUGACAAAAAUGCGACCAUUUACUCGCUGUUGUGAAUAAUGGUGUCCUCCAUGUGCUUCACUCAGAAGCGAUUGUGCAGAAAAAAGCAUUUGGAAUCAUUUUUGAGGUAAAAGUUCAAACAGUAUGUGUGAAAAUUAACUUUGACGAUUUGGUAAGCUGUGUUCUGAUUGGUCAAUUCAAAAGGUUACCUGACGCGACCUUCUACUAGGGUUUGUUAGGCUCAGUAUAGCAGUGUAAAGAAUAAUACUGAGCCUAAGUUUACCUUGACUGAUAUGUGUACUGUAGGUAGGUAGGUAUAUUUAUCAUACAGUUUUUAUUGUAACUGAUAUUUUAUUUCUGAGUCCCUUUCACAUAUGAGACCAGACGCUCAGUGGAGUGGCUGGCUCAAGAAAGAAAACAUGCACAGUAUUUAUGGGUUAUUAUUAUGCAGGUUGUUACAGACAAUAACAUUGAUGUCAGAAGAAUGUUUUUUGUGGAUUCAGAUUUCUUUUAAAUUUGUACUCAAGUUUACUCACACUUUGUACUAAGCCAGAAAAAAACAUAAGGCCAUAUACUUCAUUAUUAAACCAAAACAUUAUGAAAUAUAAUGAAAUCUAUACAGAGGUUUGAGUAAACAAAGGACAAUGUACAUAUCAAUUACUAGUGAGCUAGAGAAGCUAAUGGACCAGUUAGCUACUUCAAGGUACACCCACUUGGUAUAAACCAAAUAAUUUCUUUCAGUGAUAUGCAUUUAUCAUUUGUGUUGUCCAUGCAAUAAGCAAAUCAUAUACAAUAUGAUGUGAUAAAUAUGGAAAUGAGAUUCCCUGGCAGAAACUACUUUAGAUGACGUCUGAACAUAGAUGUUUCAUUUACUUCCUAAAACACUAUUAAUGUCCGUGCUUAAGUGUUUCAAUAGUGGUUUCCUGAAGCUUUUGUAAACAAACAUGAGUGAAAUUAAUUUGAUACUAUAUCAUCCACUGACUUGUGUUCCUACACAGUUUCAAAAAUGAUUUAAUUCAAUUUGUUUUAAGAAUUAAGUUAUGUGAUCAAAUGAGUGUCUUCAUACCAUGACGAUUUAUUUUCUGGUUCUUUUUGACCAAACCCAGAAUAUACAGGAUAUUGAUAUUUAGCAACAGCAUACGUGACUUUUAUGCACGGAAGUAUUCUCUCAUGCCACCUGAUAAUUUGUUUUAAAAUGGCUUCGGUGCAGCUAUACUGGACAAAGUUUUCAUUUCCAUGCAUUAUUUGUGUACCAUGCUCUGUCUUGGCAGAUUUCAUUGUAUGUUGAUAGAGAAAAAGAUCAACUGUUGCACUUUCCCAAGGGUUAUUUUUGCCUGGUUUUAUUUCAUGUAUUUUACAAACAUGACAUUCAUAGUUUACACAUAUAAGUUUUAAGAAAUACAUGCAAACAUGCAAGAGAUGAAACAAAGCUAUAUCAUUGAGAAGCAAUGAUCCAAUGGAUAUCAUAAUAUAUAAAGACCUUAGCCUCUGUAUAUUUGUUUAUAUUAUACAUAUAUAUUUACCAUUGUUAAGCAGUACAGAAAGAAUGAAUGUGCAGUGUAGAUGUGUGUUUGAAAGGAAACAGAAAUUCAGAAUCUGUGUUAUUUGGUAUUUUUUAUGUAGGUAAAAGAGGACACCUUGAGUACACUCUUUGCUUGUUUUGUAGCAGGGAUUCUGAAAACAUUUAUGAUAACAUCCAGGAGCCCAGGUCUAGUUUAGUUCAGGGAGACCAGUUCUAGUCUAGUUCAGGGAGCCCAGUUCUAGUCUAGUUCAGGGAGACCAGUUCUAGUCUAGUUCAGGGAGAUCAGUUCUAGUCUAGUUCAGGGAGCUCAGUUCUAGUCUAGUUCAGGGAGCCCAGUUCUAGUCUAGUUCAGGGAGCCCAGUUCUAGUCUAGUUCAGGGAGCCCAGUUCUAGUCUAGUUCAGGGAGCCCAGUUCUAGUCUAGUUAAGGGAGACCAGUUCUAGUCUAGUUCAGGGAGCUCAGUUCUAGUCUAGUUCAGGGAGCUCAGUUCUAGUCUAGUUCAGGGAGCCCAGUUCUAGUCUAGUUCAGGGAGCCCAGUUCUAGUCUAGUUCAGGGAGACCAGUUCUAGUCUAGUUCAGGGAGACCAGUUCUAGUCUAGUUCAGGGAGCCCACUUCUAGUCUAGUUCGGGGAGCCCAGUUCUAGUCUAGUUUGGGGAGCCCAGUUCUAGUCUAGUUCGGGGAGCCCAGUUCUAGUCUAGUUCAGGGAGCCCAGUUCUAGUCUAGUUCAGGGAGCUCAGUUCUAGUCUAGUUCAGGGAGACCAGUGUACUUGUCACCCUGGGAGUGUUAAAGUAUGACAUAUAUGGGACUGUGAUAUCUGUUUAUGCCUUCUUGUAUUCAUGCAAUAUGUCCUGAAGCUCUUCAUUACCACAUUUUGUCUCAUAUGGUUAUGUUCUUGACAUUUUACAGAUGUUGUAUUUAUAUAAGAGUUUAAUAAAUAGUUAUACUGUG
rnacentral:lncRNA from 1 species